CCGCCCGUAGCUCAGUUGGUAGACCGGUGGGACGGUAUCCCACGGUCCCGGGUUCAACGCGACCGGCGGU